rnacentral:rRNA from 1 species
UACGUAGGGUGCGAGCGUUGUCCGGAAUUAUUGGGCGUAAAGAGCUCGUAGGCGGCUUGUCGCGUCGUCUGUGAAAUCCCACGGCUCAACUGUGGGCUUGCAGUCGAUACGGGCAGGCUGGAGUUCGGUAGGGGAGACUGGAAUUCCUGGUGUAGCGGUGAAAUGCGCAGAUAUCAGGAGGAACACCGAUGGCGAAGGCAGGUCUCUGGGCCACUACUGACGCUGAGAAGCGAAAGCAUGGGGAGCGAACAGG